rnacentral:sRNA from 1 species
AGUCUGGGGCAAGGCUGGGGACCUUCCAACUGAAAAAGGGAGACUUGUGGUGGGGGGGAGUUCAGGGCCCCACAGAGUGGGGCAGAGAAGGAGACAGCCUGGAAGGAGUGAUGGGGAGACCCCAGAGAGCCCAGGAGGCAUGAGGGAAGUGGCGGAGGUGAGGGAGGCUCACGGGGCAGCAGCGCAAGCACUGCACACACCUUCUGUUGUCACUGUGGCUCACGAAGUGAACUCUCCUCCCCCGCGGGGGGAGAAGGAAGCUGCCUGGGCUGCCACCUGCUCUCCUGCCUUACCUCCCCCCACAGCCCUCAUGGAUCCUUCUCUACCAGGAGGGCACUGUUUUGUAGGCUUCAGUCCCUUUGUGGGCAAGGGAAGGUGCCCGGCAGGGUUGGGGCUUGUCAGGGAAGAAUCGAGGGCCCUGGAGAGAGGAGCACAGCACUAAGUCUUGGCUUGAGGGGUUGUGCUCCAAGGCUGGAGCUCUCACACUUGGCUCAAGAUGAAGCUCUGCCGCGUCCCCAAGGUCAGGGUAGGGUGAUUUAUUGUGCUUUUAUUGCCUGGAUAGCUUGCCCAGAGCCAGCAGGACGUACUGGGCUGGGAGCUGGGGGCUGGGUGGGGCAGCAGGCACAUACAAAGCACCCUCUGUGCCUGUCCCCCAGUUGGCAGGAGCAUCGCACCCUGCUCACUGUGCCGGAGGUUUCCAGCCUGGCCCUACCCCUCUGGGCCUUCUGAGGGGAGGGGCCACUGGCAGACCAAGAAGGAGCUGCAGCAACUCCCCAUCCCCCCCACCCAGCCCCUCCUCAGCAUCUUGUCUGUGGCCUGUGAACUUUGUGUCGCAUAUGCUCUAAGAUCCUGCCAGCUCCUGCAGCCUCUCCUCAGUGGCCCCUCAACCUCUGCCAUCCCCCAGAACCCCUGGCCUUGGCCCCCUUUUUCUAACCCCUUGCUCCUUUCCAUCUUUUGGAAACUUGUCUCCAGCUGCCCACACUGUUCCCUUCCCAGCCCUAUCUGAGCAGGUCUUUGGAGGCUGGGGGGGUUGCUUUCUAGGUCACCGCAGAGGGAGCUGGGAACCUGGGGAUGUGGGUCAAGAUUGUGGGGGCCGCAUCUGAGUACGCCGCAUCCCCAGGCACAGACUGCACUGGCUGCAGACUAUUAUGUCCUCGGCCUCGGAAUUGUUCUGUCCCUUGGAGCCCGGGGCAGGAGUACGUGGAUUGGCAUCUAUGACUGGGCAGUGCCAGGGAGUGGGGACUAUGCACCGCAUGGGUGGUAGGAUCAGGGUAAGCAGUGAGCCCUCAGCAGGCUGGGCACCCCCAAGAAAUGGAAAGUGGCAAAUCCCCAGGCCCCGGUCCCUACGCCCUGUGCCUUCUGCCUGGGCUUGAAGCUGGGAGACACUGUCUCCAGUACUGGGUACUUGGCAAAUCAAGCUCUCCAGCCAGGGAAUGUUAAGCUGCUGCUGUGCCCGCCUGGUCUUGCCCAGCCUGGUGCCCUAUGGUGUGGGGGAGCUGCCUCGUGGCAGCCUCCUGGGGGCUAGCAUCUUGGGACAGCUUAAGAGCCAAACAUGAUCAAAUCUACCCCUGGCUGCCUCUGCCCUGGUCUGACACCGAUCAGGCUGACCUGUAACCUUUGGCCUUUGAACUUGGGACCCUGAGGGGGUAUUCUCUGCCCCAGGCCUAUGGGAAGGAGGCUGGGGGCUGGGCCACACGCUGUCUCCAGAUCCAUGGGCUGUGUCUGGCUGACCCUUGCCUUCCUGGGUCUCCUCUGUGCCAGCUGUGCAGCGCAUUGCUGAGUCUCACCUGCAGUCUAUCAGCAAUUUGAAUGAGAACCAGGCCUCAGAGGAGGAGGAUGAGCUGGGGGAGCUUCGGGAGCUGGGUUAUCCAAGAGAGGAAGACGAGGAGGAAGAGGAGGAUGAUGAAGAAGAGGAAGAAGAAGAGGACAGCCAGGCUGAAGUCCUGAAGGUCAUCAGGCAGUCUGCUGGGCAAAAGACAACCUGUGGCCAGGGUCUGGAGGGGCCCUGGGAGCGCCCACCCCCUCUGGAUGAGCCCGAGAGAGAUGGAAGCUCUGAGGACCAAGUGGAAGACCCAGCACUAAGUGAGCCUGGGGAGGAACCUCAGCGCCCUUCCCCCUCUGAGCCUGGCACAUAGGCACCCAGCCUGCAUCUCCCAGGAGGAAGUGGAGGGGACAUCGCUGUUCCCCAGAAACCCACUCUAUCCUCACCCUGUUUUGUGCCCUUCCCCUCGCCUGCUAGGGCUGCGGCUUCUGACUUCUAGAAGACUAAGGCUGGUCUGUGUUUGCUUGUUUGCCCACCUUUGGCUGAUGCCCAGAGAACCUGGGCACUUGCUGCCUGAUGCCCACCCUUGCCAGUCAUUCCUCCAUUCACCCAGCGGGAGGUAGGAUGUGAGACAGCCCACAUUGGAAAAUCCAGAAAACCGGGAACAGGGAUUUGCCCUUCACAAUUCUACUCCCCAGAUCCUCUCCCCUGGACACAGGAGACCCACAGGGCAGGACCCUAAGAUCUGGGGAAAGGAGGUCCUGAGAACCUUGAGGUACCCUUAGAUCCUUUUCCAUCCACUUUCCUAUGGAGGAUUCCAAGUCACCACUUCUCUCACACCGGCUUCUACCAGGGUCCAGGACUAAGGCGUUUUUCUCCACAGCCUCAACAUUUUGGGAAUCUUCCCUUAAUCACCCUUGCUCCUCCUGGGUGCCUGGAAGAUGGACUGGCAGAGACUUCUUUGUCGCGUUUUGUGCUUUGAUGCCAGGAAUGCCGCCUAGUUUAUGUCCCCGGUGGGGCACACAGCGGGGGGCGCCAGGUUUUCCUUGUCCCCCAGCUGCUCUGCCCCUUUCCCCUUCUUCCCUACUCCAGGCCUGAACCCCUCCCGUGCUGUAAUAAAUCUUUGUAAAUAAC